rnacentral:tRNA from 1 species
GGAAGUGUGCCUGAAAUACAAGGGCUACUUUGAUAAAGCAGACAUGGGACUCAAUCAACCCCACUUCCCG